rnacentral:rRNA from 3 species
AUUUGCCAAGUAUGUUUCCGUUAAUCAAGAACGAAAGUUAGAGGUUCGAAGGCGAUCAGAUACCGCCCUAGUUCUAACCAUAAACGAUGCCAGCCAGCGAUCCGCCGAAGUUCCUCCGAUGACUCGGCGGGCAGCUUCCGGGAAACCAAAGCUUUUGGGUUCCGGGGGAAGUAUGGUUGCAAAGCUGAAACUUAAAGGAAUUGACGGAAGGGCACCACCAGGAGUGGAGCCUGCGGCUUAAUUUGACUCAACACGGGAAACCUCACCAGGCCCGGACACCGGAAGGAUUGACAGAUUGAGAGCUCUUUCUUGAUUCGGUGGGUGGUGGUGCAUGGCCGUUCUUAGUUGGUGGAGCGAUUUGUCUGGUUAAUUCCGGUAACGAACGAGACUCUAGCCUGCUAAAUAGACGAUUUCCGGUAUCCACAAUAGUGCUACCGGCGAAAUCAAUAUCUUCUUAGAGGGACAGGCGGCUUUCAGCCGCACGAAACUGAGCAAUAACAGGUCUGUGAUGCCCUUAGAUGUCCUGGGCCGCACGCGCGCUACACUGAAGGAAUCAGCGUGUACACCCUGGCCGAAAGGCUCGGGCAACCCGUUGAACCUCCUUCGUGCUAGGGAUUGGGGCUUGCAAUUGUUCCCCAUGAACGAGGAAUUCCCAGUAAGCGCGAGUCAUAAGCUCGCGUUGAUUACGUCCCUGCCCUUUGUACACACCGCCCGUCGCUACUACCGAUUGAAUGAUUUAGUGAGGUCUUCGGACUGGUGCGCGGCGACCGCCUGCGCGGCCGCCGAUGCCACCGGGAAGAUGACCGAACUUGAUCAUUUAGAGGAAGUA